CAGCGCUCUCCAGGGACCGUGGGGCGAAGGGACCGGCAGCAGCCCGAGGGCGGGGCUGGCACACUCACGUGAGGACGGCCAGGGAGAAAAUGAGCUACAAAGGCCAAGGCCCUGCCUGUGACCCUCAUGAUGAGGGCCUGGCACUGAGGAGCUGCUGAAUAACCACUGCUGAACGUACCGCGGGGACCGUGUCAAGGCCUGGCGAUCCUCCGGUGCACCGCUCCAGCACGCCCCCUCUGCUCACCCUGGGCGGCUCCCGGCAUGCUGUGCACAGCCUGUCUGCAGAGAGCAGCUUCCCAGGUGGACUCUGAAUUCCCAGAGGCCCAGGCCUAGGGGGUCCUCCCAUGUCAUCUUGUGGAGUCCUCACACGCCAGGCAGGGGGUACACCUCUUACUCCACACAACGCCACCAAGCACACAGCUGAUCAGGGGACAAGGAACAGAGGAUCCGGACCCAGAAGAGGCCACUUCCAGAACCUGAACUCCUGUUCCUCCUUGGCCUCCUUGGUGCCAUCCAUACUCCGUGGGGGCCUGAAAGGUGGCCGCAUUGCAGGGCUGCUGCUCCACCGCCUCUCAAGCCCGAGCUCUGUCUGAGCUGCUUGCCUGGCUCUCCAGCGCGGCAUCAAUAAUGGAACACAGCUUGCAAACACUAAA